UACGUAGGGAGCAAGCGUUGUCCGGAAUCAUUGGGCGUAAAGCGCGCGUAGGUGGCUUCGUAAGUCCGUUGUGAAAGUCAAAGGCUCAACCUUUGAAAGCCGAUGGAUACUGUGAAGCUAGAGUACGGAAGAGGCGAGUGGAAUUCCUGGUGUAGCGGUGGAAUGCGCAGAUAUCAGGAGGAACACCAUAGCGAAGGCAGCUCGCUGGGACGUACUGACACUGAGGCGCGAAAGCGUGGGGAGCGAACAGG
rnacentral:rRNA from 1 species